UACGUAUGGUGCAAGCGUUAUCCCGAUUUACUGGGCGUAAAGGGAGCGCAGGCGGCGCGCCAAGUCUGAUGUGAAACCCCGGGGCUCAACCCCGGGCAUGCAUUGGAAACUGGCGGGCUGGAGUGCCGGAGAGGUAAGCGGAAUUCCUAGUGUAGCGGUGAAAUGCGUAGAUAUUAGGAGGAACACCAGUGGCGAAGGCGGCUUACUGGACGGCAACUGACGCUGAGGCUCGAAAGCGUGGGGAGCAAACAGG
rnacentral:rRNA from 1 species